rnacentral:rRNA from 1 species
CGAGCGGAAACGAGUUAUCUGAACCUUCGGGGAACGAUAACGGCGUCGAGCGGCGGACGGGUGAGUAAUGCCUAGGAAAUUGCCCUGAUGUGGGGGAUAACCAUUGGAAACGAUGGCUAAUACCGCAUGAUGCCUACGGGCCAAAGAGGGGGACCUUCGGGCCUCUCGCGUCAGGAUAUGCCUAGGUGGGAUUAGCUAGUUGGUGAGGUAAGGGCUCACCAAGGCGACGAUCCCUAGCUGGUCUGAGAGGAUGAUCAGCCACACUGGAACUGAGACACGGUCCAGACUCCUACGGGAGGCAGCAGUGGGGAAUAUUGCACAAUGGGCGCAAGCCUGAUGCAGCCAUGCCGCGUGUGUGAAGAAGGCCUUCGGGUUGUAAAGCACUUUCAGUCGUGAGGAAGGUAGUGUAGUUAAUAGCUGCAUUAUUUGACGUUAGCGACAGAAGAAGCACCGGCUAACUCCGUGCCAGCAGCCGCGGUAAUACGGAGGGUGCGAGCGUUAAUCGGAAUUACUGGGCGUAAAGCGCAUGCAGGUGGUUUGUUAAGUCAGAUGUGAAAGCCCGGGGCUCAACCUCGGAAUUGCAUUUGAAACUGGCAGACUAGAGUACUGUAGAGGGGGGUAGAAUUUCAGGUGUAGCGGUGAAAUGCGUAGAGAUCUGAAGGAAUACCGGUGGCGAAGGCGGCCCCCUGGACAGAUACUGACACUCAGAUGCGAAAGCGUGGGGAGCAAACAGGAUUAGAUACCCUGGUAGUCCACGCCGUAAACGAUGUCUACUUGGAGGUUGUGGCCUUGAGCCGUGGCUUUCGGAGCUAACGCGUUAAGUAGACCGCCUGGGGAGUACGGUCGCAAGAUUAAAACUCAAAUGAAUUGACGGGGGCCCGCACAAGCGGUGGAGCAUGUGGUUUAAUUCGAUGCAACGCGAAGAACCUUACCUACUCUUGACAUCCAGAGAACUUUCCAGAGAUGGAUUGGUGCCUUCGGGAACUCUGAGACAGGUGCUGCAUGGCUGUCGUCAGCUCGUGUUGUGAAAUGUUGGGUUAAGUCCCGCAACGAGCGCAACCCUUAUCCUUGUUUGCCAGCGAGUAAUGUCGGGAACUCCAGGGAGACUGCCGGUGAUAAACCGGAGGAAGGUGGGGACGACGUCAAGUCAUCAUGGCCCUUACGAGUAGGGCUACACACGUGCUACAAUGGCGCAUACAGAGGGCGGCCAACUUGCGAAAGUGAGCGAAUCCCAAAAAGUGCGUCGUAGUCCGGAUUGGAGUCUGCAACUCGACUCCAUGAAGUCGGAAUCGCUAGUAAUCGUGGAUCAGAAUGCCACGGUGAAUACGUUCCCGGGCCUUGUACACACCGCCCGUCACACCAUGGGAGUGGGCUGCAAAAGAAGUAGGUAGUUUAACCUUCGGGGGGACG